rnacentral:misc_RNA from 1 species
UGAAGAACGCAGCGAAAUGCGAUAAGUAAUGUGAAUUGCAGAAUUCAGUGAAUCAUCGAAUCUUUGAACGCACAUUGCGCCCCCUGGUAUUCCGGGGGGCAUGCCUGUCCGAGCGUCAUUACAACCCUCAAGCUCAGCUUGGUAUUGGGCCCCGCCGACCCGGCGGGCCCUAAAGUCAGUGGCGGUGCCGUCCGGCUCCGAGCGUAGUAAUUCUUCUCGCUCUGGAGGUCCGGUCGUGUGCUCGCCAGCAACCCCCAAUUUUUUUCAGGUUGACCUCGGAUCAGGUAGGGAUACCCGCUGAACUUAAGCAUAUCAAUAAGCGGAGGA